CCAAUCUGAGGGCCAUUCACUCUUCUAACAUAAAGGGGGAUAGAGACGUUUUUCUCUCAUUUUUGUGUGUUUAGCUAGGGUCUAGUUCCUCUUUGUUCUGCCGGCCAGCAACUCUGCCCCUCAAGGGCAGGGGGAGCUCCUCCCUCAGCCCGGAUGGAAAUUGCUUCAAUGGCUGUGGUAGAGAGAGGGAGGUACCUCAAUGGUCAAGAGUUGGCCGAGUGAGUGUCCCCCCUUCCGGCUAUAUGAGAAUGAGAAGCCACAGGGCUUCACCUUUCUUUCAAAUUUCUGCUCCUUUCAAGCUUUGUAUCUAGGGGCCUUAGCAUUGCUUUUAUAUUUCCUACCCAUUUAAUCUCAACAACGGUGCUGCCAUGACUGCUGCUUCUGUUUUCAGGAGGUCUUCUAGUUUGCCUGGCCUUUUUCACCAUAAGUUACUUUUGGGACUUCCUUUUCAGGCAAUUCAGCUGUUUGUAGUCCAUUGACGCUUCAAUCGAAGUUGUCUUUCCUUGGUGAAAGUUCGGUCAUCUCUCUAUGCAGCUCCUUCUAUGGCGGCUUUUGGUUUUUGUAAACACGGGUCAUGGGUCUAGGCAAUGGUGCAUCAUCAGCUAUUUUUGAUGGGCUUGGACCCUCUUUAAGAAUAUGGUUGGAUUUGUUUAGAUAGGCCUCUGUAAAUUGGGUCACGAGUCCCUUUUCUAAACUAAAAUUGUAAAUUGUUUCAUAUAUCAAUAAAUUUUAAUAUCUUUAGGAAAAAA